rnacentral:tRNA from 1 species
GCGUCCUUAGCUCAGCUGGUUAGAGCACCACCUUGACAUGGUGGGGGUCGGUGGUUCGAAUCCACUAGGAUGCACCA